rnacentral:rRNA from 1 species
GACGAACGCUGGCGGCGUGCCUAAUACAUGCAAGUAGAACGCUGAAGCUUGGUGCUUGCACCGAGCGGAUGAGUUGCGAACGGGUGAGUAACGCGUAGGUAACCUGCCUGGUAGCGGGGGAUAACUAUUGGAAACGAUAGCUAAUACCGCAUAAGAGUAGAUGUUGCAUGACAUUUGCUUAAAAGGUGCAAUUGCAUCACUACCAGAUGGACCUGCGUUGUAUUAGCUAGUUGGUGAGGUAACGGCUCACCAAGGCAACGAUACAUAGCCGACCUGAGAGGGUGAUCGGCCACACUGGGACUGAGACACGGCCCAGACUCCUACGGGAGGCAGCAGUAGGGAAUCUUCGGCAAUGGACGGAAGUCUGAACGAGCAACGCCGCGUGAGUGAAGAAGGUUUUCGGAUCGUAAAGCUCGGUUGUAAGAGAAGAACGAGUGUGAGAGUGGAAAGUUCACACUGUGACGGUAUCUUACCAGAAAGGGACGGCUAACUACGUG